rnacentral:rRNA from 1 species
CAGCCGCCACGGUAAAACGAAGGGGGCUAGCGUUGUUCGGAAUUAUUGGGCGUAAAGGGUGCGUAGGCGGUUUGACAAGUCUUGUGUGAAAUCUCUGGGCUCAACCCAGAGUCUGCACGGGAAACUGUCGGGCUAGAGGAUGGGAGAGGUGAGUGGAAUUUCCGGUGUAGCGGUGAAAUGCGUAGAUAUCGGAAGGAACACCUGUGGCGAAAGCGGCUCACUGGACCAUAACUGACGCUGAGGCACGAAAGCUAGGGGAGCAAACAGGAUUAGAUACCCCCGUAGUCCCUGUCUCUUAUAC